rfam:Pseudozyma flocculosa PF-1 unplaced genomic scaffold scaffold00001, whole genome shotgun sequence.
GGCAAGAUGGCCGAGUGGUCUAAGGCGUAGCAUUAAGGAAGAUACCUCGCACUGAGCGAGGGGCAAUCUGCUAUCUUCGGGCGUGGGUUCGAAUCCCACUCUUGUCA